CAGAGUUUACAACUCCCAAACCCCUGUGAACAUACCACUUGUUGCCUCGGCGGAUCAGCCCGCUCCCGGUAAAACGGGACGGCCCGCCAGAGGACCCCUAAACUCUGUUUCUAUAUGUAACUUCUGAGUAAAACCAUAAAUAAAUCA
rnacentral:misc_RNA from 1 species